UCCCUACGGGGCGCAGCAGUGAGGAAUAUUGGUCAAUGGCCGAGAGGCUGAACCAGCCAAGUCGCGUGAGGGAAGACGGCCCUACGGGUUGUAAACCUCUUUUGUCGGGGAGCAAAGCGAACCACGUGUGGUUCAUUGAGAGUACCCGAAGAAAAGGCAUCGGCUAACUCCGUGCCAGCAGCCGCGGUAAUACGGAGGAUGCGAGCGUUAUCCGGAUUUAUUGGGUUUAAAGGGUGCGUAGGCGGGACCUUAAGACAGCGGUAAAAUUGCGGUGCUCAACGCCGUAGAGCCGUUGAAACUGGGGG
rnacentral:rRNA from 1 species